rnacentral:rRNA from 1 species
AUUGAACGCUGGCGGCAUGCCUUACACAUGCAAGUCGAACGGCAGCACGGGAGCAAUCCUGGUGGCGAGUGGCGAACGGGUGAGUAAUAUAUCGGAACAUGCCCAGUAGUGGGGGAUAACUGCUCGAAAGAGCAGCUAAUACCGCAUACGACCUGAGGGUGAAAGGGGGGGGAUCGCAAGACCUCUCGCUAUUGGAGCGGCCGAUAUCAGAUUAGCUAGUUGGUGGGGUAAAGGCCUACCAAGGCAACGAUCUGUCGUUGGUCUGAGAGGACGACCAGCCACACUGGGACUGAGACACGGCCCAGACUCCUACGGGAGGCAGCAGUGGGGAAUUUUGGACAAUGGGCGCAAGCCUGAUCCAGCCAUGCCGCGUGCAGGAUGAAGGCCUUCGGGUUGUAAACUGCUUUUGUACGGAACGAAAAGACUCUGGUUAAUACCUGGGGUCCAUGACGGUACCGUAAGAAUAAGCACCGGCUAACUACGUGCCAGCCGCCGCAGUAAAAC